CUACGGGUCGCUGCAGUGGGGAAUAUUGCACAAUGGACGCAAGCCUGAUGCAGCCAUGCCGCGUGUAUGAAGAAGGCCUUCGGGUUGUAAAGUACUUUCAGCGGGGAGGAGGGGAGUAAAGUUAAUACCUUUGCUCAUUGACGUUACCCGCAGAAGAAGCACCGGCUAACUCCGUGCCAGCAGCCGCGGUAAUACGGAGGGUGCAAGCGUUAAUCGGAAUUACUGGGCGUAAAGCGCACGCAGGCGGUUUGUUAAGUCAGAUGUGAAAUCCCCGGGCUCAACCUGGGAACUGCAUCUGAUACUGGCAAGCUUGAGUCUCGUAGAGGGGGGUAGAAUUCCAGGUGUAGCGGUGAAAUGCGUAGAGAUCUGGAGGAAUACCGGUGGCGAAGGCGGCCCCCUGGACGAAGACUGACGCUCAGGUGCGAAAGCGUGGGGAGCAAACAGGAUUAGAUACCCUAGUAGUC
rnacentral:rRNA from 1 species